GAAUUGACGGGGGCCCGCACAAGCGGUGGAGCAUGUGGUUUAAUUCGAUGCAACGCGAAGAACCUUACCUGGUCUUGACAUCCACAGAACUUUCCAGAGAUGGAUUGGUGCCUUCGGGAACUGUGAGACAGGUGCUGCAUGGCUGUCGUCAGCUCGUGUUGUGAAAUGUUGGGUUAAGUCCCGCAACGAGCGCAACCCUUAUCCUUUGUUGCCAGCGGUUAGGCCGGGAACUCAAAGGAGACUGCCAGUGAUAAACUGGAGGAAGGUGGGGAUGACGUCAAGUCAUCAUGGCCCUUACGACCAGGGCUACACACGUGCUACAAUGGCAUAUACAAAGAGAAGCGACCUCGCGAGAGCAAGCGGACCUCAUAAAGUAUGUCGUAGUCCGGAUUGGAGUCUGCAACUCGACUCCAUGAAGUCGGAAUCGCUAGUAAUCGUAGAUCAGAAUGCUACGGUGAAUACGUUCCCGGGCCUUGUACACACCGCCCGUCACACCAUGGGAGUGGGUUGCAAAAGAAGUAGGUAGCUUAACCUUCGGGAGGGCGCUUACCACUUUGUGAUUCAUGACUGGGGUGAAGUCGUAACAAGGUAACCGUAAU
rnacentral:rRNA from 1 species